CCGGACCGGCGACGGGUGAGUAACGCGUAUCCAACCUGCCCUUUACUAUGGGACAGCCCGUCGAAAGGCGGAUUAAUACCGUAUGUUGUCAUGUUGAUGCAUAUUUUCAUGACCAAAGGCUUCGGCCGGUAAAGGAUGGGGAUGCGUCUGAUUAGCUUGCCGGCGGGGUAACGGCCCACCGGGGCGACGAUCAGUAGGGGUUCUGAGAGGAAGGUCCCCCACAUUGGAACUGAGACACGGUCCAAACUCCUACGGAAGGCAGCAG
rnacentral:rRNA from 1 species